CUUGUCGUAUACUCCCUCCGUCUCAAAAAAAAAAGAUAAAUCCUGUGUUUUUUUUCCAACAUUUGACUAUCCGUCUUAUAUGAAUUUUUUUUAUAAUUAGUAUUUUAAUUGUUGUUAGAUGAUAAAACAUGAUUAAUACUUUAUGCGUGACUUGUUUUUUCAAUUUUUUUCAUAAUUUUUUUAAAUAAGACGGACGGUCAAACGUUGGACACGGAACCUAGGAUUUGUUUUUUUUUGGACGGAGUGAGUAGAGAUUAAGA
rnacentral:misc_RNA from 1 species